UACGUAGGGGGCAAGCGUUGUCCGGAUUUAUUGGGCGUAAAGAGCGUGUAGGCGGCUAGGUAGGUCGUUGUGAAAACUCGAGGCUCAACCUCGAGCUGUCGAUGGAAACCAUCUGGCUAGAGUCCGGAAAGAGGAGAGUGGAAUUCCUGGUGUAGCGGUGAAAAAUGCGCAGAUAUCAGGGAAAGAAACACCCCCGUGGCGAAAGGCGGCUCUCUGGGG
rnacentral:rRNA from 1 species